CCCGGUCGUGGGCAAAACAUAACAUUCUUGAUAAACAUCAGUUUGUCACUUUAUUUUAUUCUUUUGAGUUGAAGUAGUUCAGAUUUGCCUAUUUACUCUGCAAAUAAUUUGACAUCCAACCAAUCCACAACAUCCGGUCACGUGUUGUCAACACACGUUUUUCCAGUUGCCAGGGGCGGCUGAUCCAAAGGAGAACACUGUAACAGAAGCACCGGUCCCGGAGUUACGUAAGCGCACCAUAGUUGUCAUCAUCUGCGUCUUUUCUCCAUGGAGAUCGUCGGGUGAGCGCACAAGGCAACGACUACUGCGACGAGGACGUCUGCAAUUGACAGCUUCCGCUCGUGAAAGUUUUGCAACGUGAAAAAAAACAUAAAACCCUACAGACAUCCAAGUAGGCCAAGGAUUCGGACAGGCGAAUUUCGUUCAUCCGCGCUGUUGCUCCAAUUGGAAUAUUCAUGAACAACUGAACGGGGCCGAGACCGGAUGGGAUGAAUCGGCUGCAGAAGUUGCGAAUCGGUAAUGUAAUGCAAAUUUUGCGCUCGCAACCCGCAUAUUUCACGCGGGAGUUGAACCGAAUCCCGGUUGAACUGGGCGAAAAAAAAAACAUAGUUUGGAGAACAACCAGAGCGCGGCAACACUUGAAAGUGUCGGACAAAGGACUCUGCAUGGGUAUCUCUCUGGUGAGGAAAAACAGACCGACCAACAGAGGGCCAUGAACCUGUCGGUACCAACUACUCGGAACAAAUGGAGGAGUAACAAGAGUUAAAUCUGAUGGGAGUACCACGAUAAUGAGUUUCGUCUGGUCUGGUAAUCUACUAGCGUUGAUCUGAGUGGUGUCUAUCAAGACAGAAGAAGACCAUUGUGCGGUGUGGUUCUUGUGUCUGAAUAGCAGGCCAUGGAACGAAGAAGUUGUCGGUUUGCGGUUUUUUGUUGUUGUUGCAAGGUGACGUUUGAGACUGCUUGAUGACAAUCAUAGCACUGCAUAGCAUUCGUUAAUUGUUGGCAUUACUUAUGUUGAUAUUUGCACAGAAUUAAAAAAAAAUCAGAGGGCACGCAAUAAAUUGAUAAAUUACGAAACUCCGUGGGAAACAAUCACACCUCCAAAUCGGUUCCCACAUCGAAAAUGAGCCCGGAAUCACUUAAACGUCUGCUUCCACCUCGAAAAUCGUGAGCUUAAGCCUGGUCGAUGCACAUGAUCGCUCCAGUGCUCGCACUAAGUCGGCGGUGGAGUUUACGAUCACGAGAUUCUUAAUGACGACCGGAGUCCCCUCUCUGUAGAACAAGAAUCAGAGUAAAAAACGAAGUGUUACAAGUUGUCUUGUUUCUUUUUUCUCUCUAUUACCAGCCGACCAUGGCAGCCCAACCAUGAAUGAAGUGAUUUAGUGGAGUUUCAUUCUACGAGUGUGUGUGAAUGUGUAUUGGAAGGGAAAAUUUAUUGCUUUCGGAAAAGCGCAGUAAAAGUGAUUGUUUUAGACUGGAGGAAAAAAAAUGUUGGAAUAAAGGGGGAAAUUUGAGGCGUAAAAUUAGAACAGACGAUUUUA